GUUCUCAUUUAAGACCCGACAACUGAACACGUGUUAAAAAAAAAUUAAUGUUAAAAAUUAAUUUAUUGUUAUUUUUUAUUAUUAAAAAUUGAUUUAAUUUUUGGGAAAAAUGAUUGAAAAUUCAGGAAAUUGUGAAGCCGUCGGCUGUACGGGAGAUGAAUUUAUGAGGGGAGUGAAAAGGUUGUCAGUAAAAGUAACAGAAGCAGUGAUGAAAAAGCCCAAAGAGCGAAAAGGAUGGGCCAAUAAGGCAGAAUUCGUGAUGUCCUGUAUGGGAUACGCCAUAGGAAUCGGGAACGUAUGGCGGUUCCCCUUUUUAGUGUACAAAAAUGGCGGCGGUGCCUUUUUGAUUCCAUUUGUGCUGAUGUUAGUCACCAUGGGAAUCCCAAUCUUCUACCUAGAGGUCGCUGUAGGCCAGUACUCGGGUCGAGGUCCUUUCCAGGUGUACGAGUCCCUCGCUCCAGCUUUUGGAGGAAUAGGAUUAUGCACCCUUUUGGUUAUUGCGCUGGUCAGCGUUUAUUAUAUGGUUCUUAUAAGCUGGAUUAUGUCAUAUAUCGUCGCUUCUUUUCAUUCUAAAUUAGCUUGGGGGUACUGCGAUUAUGAAUGGAACGAUUAUGCAUGCUACAGUCAACUCCAAGCCUCAAAUUGCCGUGAAGAAAAUUCUAGCUCAAUUUUCUUCAACAAAACUUGUCAAUCUAUAACAGCAGUUUGUCAAAAUUUUGGAUAUCCCCACGGAGAUCUUCACGGGAAUUGUUACAACAGUUCAUUUAUUGUCCCUGUAAAGUCUCUGUACAAAAGGGUGUUGUCCAGUGAACAAUACUUCAACAAUUACGCUCUUGGAAUGAAUGGGGCAACUUGGGAAAAUUACGGAUCCCUAAACUGGCAAUUGUUGAUUUACUUGUCCCUCGGAUGGAUAAUAGUCUUUAUCUGUUUGUCCCGCGGAGUUAAAUCAGCGGGUAAAGUCGCGUAUUUUACCGCCAUUUUUCCGUAUGUGAUGCUUACUGCUGUAUUGAUUCGAGGUGUAACACUAGAAAAUGCGAUGGAAGGUAUAAAAUAUUUUAUAAUUCCCCACUUUGAGCAACUGAAAAAUGCUAGCGUUUGGGGAGAUGCCGCGUCCCAAGUUUUCUAUUCCCUGGGAAUCGGAUGUGGAUCCCUGAUCACAAUGUCCAGUUUCAAUUCCUUCACCAACAAUUGCUUCAGUUUAAAAAUCGGUAUUUUCCAGGGACACAAUUUUCAUAGCGGUAGCAAACGUCUUUACGUCGGUAUUCGCCGGGUUCGCGAUAUUCUCGAUCCUCGGACACUUGUCGAUGAAAAUGGAGAUGCCGAUUCAAGAACUAGCCCAGGAUGGGGGUCUGGCUUUGGCCUUUAUUGCCUACCCGGAGGCGGUUAUCCAGAUGCCUUUGCCGAACUUGUGGGCUAUUUUGUUCUUCCUGAUGUUGUUCAUCCUCGGACUUGGGAGUCAAUUCCCAGGUGUUCAAGCAAUAAGUACAGCAAUAAUCGACUUAAAACCGUCUCUCCGAGACAAAGAACACUUAGUGAUAUUAGGCGUCUGCUUCGGAGGCUGGUUACUAGGCUUGCCGAUGAUCUUCGGCGGAGGAGUCCUCUUGUACCAACUGAUGGACUGGAACACCGCGAGUUGGGCCGUGUUGCUGAUAGGUGUCGCCGAACUUAUUGUUCCCUGCUGGAUGUACGGUUGCAACAAAUUCAUCAGCAACAUUAGUGAGAUGAAGAUGAAGUUCAACAAGUUCUCCUACGGAUAUUGGUGGAUCAACUGGGUAAUCCUCGCUCCUUUUACUUGCAUGGCGAUUUUCAUCUACCAAAUGACUCAAUAUUAUCCUGUGACUUAUGGAAACUACAAGUACCCUUACUGGGCGAAAUCCAUCGGAACAAUGAUUGGUCUCAGUACUUUAAUGCCCUUGCCGCUGUAUUUCUUCUAUCGUCUCU
rnacentral:misc_RNA from 1 species